rnacentral:rRNA from 1 species
UCACACUGUAGCACGGUGAAACCGCGAAUGGCUCAUUAAAUCAGUCGAGGUUUACUAGAUGAAAAGUAUCCUACUUGGAUAACUGUGGCAAUUCUAGAGCUAAUACAUGCAACCAAGCUCCGACCCUCGCGGAAAGAGCGCUUUUAUUAGUUCAAAACCAAUCGUCGUACCCUUCGCGGGGUGCGGCGUCCCGAUUGGUGACUCUGGAUAACUUUGUGCUGAUCGCAUGGCCUUUGCGCCGGCGACGCAUCUUUCAAAUGUCUGCCCUAUCAAAUGUCGAUGGUACGUGAUAUGCCUACCAUGUUUGUAACGGGUAACGGGGAAUCAGGGUUCGAUUCC